rnacentral:lncRNA from 1 species
UUUGGGCUACCACUUAGAAAGGAAAUGCCUUAUUCGUCAACUCCUUUGACCGGAGACUUGGGGAACUCCUACCAUAUGCUACUGCACCUUGAUACUCGGAUGUCUCACAACCACUCUGUGACUUGGAUUUUUUCAAAGCCUCCAACCGAGAAAUUUUCCUCACUCGGGAAAUUAAGGGAGCACUACCUUAACCUACAUGCUUUACUCACAAAGCUUCAACAUACAAGAUUCAACAAAAGGAAAAUUUCAAAGAACUUAGUGGAGAAAGCCUUGAUGUAUUUAACACAAUAUGUUGAAAUGAAGUAAAACUUGUUUAUUGAUAUCUCCGAUAAGUUACAAAUAUGUACAUAUACAUGAAUCAAAAUAAACAAACAAAAGGGAA